GGUAAUGCCGGAUGCUCCAGUCCAUCGCAUGGUGGUCUGGGAAAGAUUCUAUCGGUAUGGGAUGGGGUCGCGUCCUAUCAGCUUGAUGGCGGGGUAACGGCCCACCAUGGCCUCGACGGGUAGCCGGCCUGAGAGGGCGACCGGCCACAUUGGGACUGAGAUACGGCCCAGACUCCUACGGGAGGCAGCAGUGGGGAAUAUUGCACAAUGGGCGCAAGCCUGAUGCAGCGACGCCGCGUGCGGGAUGGAGGCCUUCGGGUUGUAAACCGCUUUUGAUCGGGAGCAAGCCCUUCGGGGUGAGUGUACCCUUCGAAUAAGCACCGGCUAACUACGUGCCAGCAGCCGCGGUAAUACGUAGGGUGCAAGCGUUAUCCGGAAUUAUUGGGCGUAAAGGGCUCGUAGGCGGUUCGUCGCGUCCGGUGUGAAAGCCCAUCGCUUAACGGUGGGUCUGCGCCGGGUACGGGCGGGCUGGAGUGCGGUAGGGGAGACUGGAAUUCCCGGUGUAACGGUGGAAUGUGUAGAUAUCGG
rnacentral:rRNA from 1 species